rnacentral:other from 1 species
CGUUGCCUGCCGUGUACGCGACGGGUCCGGUCUUGUUAUGAGCCAACACCUUUUGAUGAGGGAGUUCGGCUCUGGGCGUGGCGUGCACGCCCCGGGGUUCCGGGGAAGCCCACAAGCGUCCAGGAGGACACCCACCUGCGGGAGCGCAGGUUCAUCAACGGCCGGACUUGGCGGCAUGGCGGGAUUUUU